AUUCUUUCGCAGAGGCGAUAUCAUAGCCUAUGAAGUCCCUGAGGGUGAUUAUUGCUGGUUGAAAACUUAACCCAAUACCCCUUGGGAUGACUUGAAAUAUAGUCAGCCUUGGCAAUUUUUGAUGUCUCAUGUGGA
rnacentral:snRNA from 1 species